rnacentral:rRNA from 1 species
AUUGAACGCUGGCGGCAGGCCUAACACAUGCAAGUCGAGCGGAUGAAGGGAGCUUGCUCCUGGAUUCAGCGGCGGACGGGUGAGUAAUGCCUAGGAAUCUGCCUGGUAGUGGGGGAUAACGUCCGGAAACGGGCGCUAAUACCGCAUACGUCCUGAGGGAGAAAGUGGGGGAUCUUCGGACCUCACGCUAUCAGAUGAGCCUAGGUCGGAUUAGCUAGUUGGUGGGGUAAAGGCCUACCAAGGCGACGAUCCGUAACUGGUCUGAGAGGAUGUUCAGUCACACGGGAACUGAGACACGGUCCAGACUCCUACGGGAGGCAGCAGUGGGGAAUAUUGGACAAUGGGCGAAAGCCGGAUCCAGCCAUGCCGCGUGUGUGAAGAAGGUCUUCGGAUUGUAAAGCACUUUAAGUUGGGAGGAAGGGCAGUAAGUUAAUACCUUGCUGUUUUGACGUUACCAACAGAAUAAGCACCGGCUAACUUCGUG